rnacentral:rRNA from 1 species
UACGUAGGGGGCAAGCGUUGUCCGGAUUCAUUGGGCGUAAAGAGCGUGUAGGCGGCCAGGUAGGUCGGUUGUGAAAACUGGAGGCUCAACCUUCAGACGUCGACGGAAACCGUCUGGCUAGAGCCGGAAGAGGAGAGUGGAAUUCCUGGUGUAGCGGUGAAAUGCGCAGAUAUCAGGAAGAACACCGAUGGCGAAGGCAGCUCUCUGGGCAUUAACUGACGCUGAGGAGCGAAAAGCAUGGGGAGCGAACAGG